rnacentral:rRNA from 1 species
GACGAACGCUGGCGGCGUGCCUAACACAUGCAAGUCGAGCGGAGACAAUGGAAGUGCUUGCACAGAAAUUGUUUUAGCGGCGGACGGGUGAGUAACGCGUGAGCAACCUUUCUCUCAGUGGGGAAUAACACAGGGAAACUUGUACUAAUACCGCAUGAGACCACGGGACCGCAUGGUUCAGGGGUCAAAGAUUAAUCGCUGAGAGGUGGGCUCGCGUCUGAUUAGAUAGUUGGUGGGGUAACGGCCUACCAAGGCAACGAUCAGUAGCCGGCCUGAGAGGGUGACCGGCCACAUUGGGACUGAGACACGGCCCAAACCCCUACGGGAGGCAGCAGUGGGGAAUAUUGCACAAUGGGGGAAACCCUGAUGCAGCAACGCCGCGUGAGUGAAGAAGUAUUUCGGUAUGUAAAGCUCUAUCAGCAGGGAAGAAGAAAGACGGUACCUGACUAAGAAGCACCGGCUAAAUACGUG